rnacentral:siRNA from 1 species
AAGGGGUGGAACAGGUGUAGGA